rnacentral:tRNA from 2 species
GUGGUCGUAGUUCAGUUGGCAGAACGCCAGAUUGUGGCUCUGGAGGUCAAGGGUUCGACCCCCUUCGAUCACCCCA